GGCGCUUAGAGGACUGAGUGGCUGUCUCCAAAUUUUACUGCAUAAUGUAAAAACAAAAGGAGUAGCCUAAUAGUAACCCAACAGCCAGACUGCUGUGCGUGCAGAGUAGGAGCUGGAAAGAUUUCAGCACCUUCGGCCCCAGUGACCUCCACAACAGGAUGUCCUUUCUGCAAAAGGGUGCCAGAGAUAAUCCUGGACAUUGAGGUGCACUGGAGGUGCUGACAAGCAUGAAGGACCAGGGAGUGCCAUUUAGGAAGGAAGCAUUCACUGUGGCUUUUGAUAGCUGCUACAAACUGAACACGCCACAGUCAUAUAAGGUCUGAACCAUUCUAUUGGAGGAGGCCUUUGAUCAGUGCAAGGUUACUGUUUUCUGGUGGCACCGGCUCUCAUAC